CCAGACUAGCGUGCUAGUAGCUAUGCUAGCUGCAGGCAGCUCCCAGUGAACAGGAGGAUUUUAUUAGAGGAAGUCAGACACAGAGAAACAUUAGAGCUCACACUGAAACGGAGCUACAGCUCUGUGUCUUGUAGAAGAUUUAUUUUCAAAGCUACAUGUGUGACGGUGAUAAUCCGCGCCAGAGCAGACCUCAUUAGCACUUCCGCUAGGUCGGCUAACCUUUCCGGUCACUCCAGGGUGUGACGGUGAUAAUCCGCGCCAGAGCAGACCUCAUUAGCACUUCCGCUAGGUCGGCUAACCUUUCCGGUCACUCCAGGGACGCUGCUGUCGAGUGAAAGUAGCAGUUCCUCCUGAAGGUCAGACAUUGCAGCAUCUGAGGGCCUCUUCAAAAGAAGAUGUAGUUGAUGAAGACGUUCUGGAGCAGGACCAGAAAGACCACGACCAAGCAGCCUUGAGAUCUUAGGCAGCGUCUCCCUCAGGUCCCUCUCUAUCUCCCCACACAUCCACCAACCACUGGAACACAUCUCCAAAGUUCUGCUGCCAGCUCAGCUUCCCCUCAGAAGAAGUGCUGCCACCUGCCAGAUGAAGGAGCCUUUUGAGAGGCAGCUGGCAUCGUGAUUGGACUGUACUUUGGUCUGUUCCAAUCCAGCUUCAGCUCCAGAGACGGCAGGCGGGACGAGUCAACGGAGGCCUGGUGGACGAAGGCAUGCAGCUGAGUACAAUCCAGAAAACAACAGAGGAGGAGUGCAGCGGCCCAGAGCCAGAACAACCAGAGUAGCAUGACCAAAGAACUACAGACUCUUCACAACCUGCUCAAACUCUUGGUACAGGACCUCACCACACGGGUCAAGAAGGUUUCCAUCUCAUUUCUACUCUGAAGCUCACCUUCUCCUGUUCAAACUGCUGACAAAUGUUUGUGCUGCUCUAAAGUCUGGUCUCCAGAACUUCCUAAAAACUCUCAAAGUCUCUUCUGCUGCAGGUUGCUUUGUAGAACUGUUCCAGAAAACCUCACUAAACCACAUGGAGGGGCCUCAAGAUAGUCGUCCAAAUGAAACCAUACAAUAACCAAACUAGUACAACCCAAACGCUAAAGUCUCCUGCAGCCUACCAGAGAACCUCUGAGAACAGAGAAUCAGGACAGGAACUCUUACCUUCUGGACAACCAACGCUGGUUCUCAAACAAGAAUACAGAAUGUGUCUGACCAGAAACCUCUGAAGACUCACUACAGCCAAGACAAAGACACAACUCAGCUGCACCAAAUCCACUAAUCACUGCACACAUUAGCACCAUGUGCUAACUGUGGCUAAAGAACCACAUUUACCAAGACAACUAUCCAGUACAAAGCCCUAAAACACACCAAGAAACACAUUAAAGAUGAUUUUACUGCUGGAAGCUGCAAGCCAACGCCUAAAGAACAAACUAAGCAACAGAACCAAACCCAGCUCAGUGGUGAAGAGAAACAGAGGAAAUGUUUGUCUGCAGCCACAUGAAGCAGGAAGACACUGAGCUGCUCAGAUGUUCCUGAUAACACCAAGCAGCCACCUGGACAGCCAAUAGGAACACAGCUUCCUGGAAGCCCAGAGGGCUGGCUUAGUGAAGGAAAUUUAAAGUUGAGGCAGAAAGUUAACAAAGAAAGUUGAAAACCACCUUCCGAUCCCUGAAAUCUCUGAGUUUUCACACAUAGAACACCUGAACAUGUCAAACUGGUUCCAUAGUAGAACCAUCAUUGUAAAAACAUCAUAGUAUGGUGUCUUGCUCAAAAAACAUUAGGACCCGGCUGUCUAGGGUUGCAGAGGAGCAACACAAAAACAGGACAAACGCUGGUUUCCAGGGGGUUGGGAGGCUAUUUAUUUGAAAGAGGAAGUUUACAACAACACAACAUGUGAGCAGAAAAAUCACAAAGUCUGUCUAUAGUUCAGCUGAAAAUAUUAGUUUUUGUCUUUUUUCUUUUCUUUUCUUACAGUUACAGAAAUGGUUUGAUUGCAGUGAUUGCCUCAAAAGGUUGUGCAAUAAAAUAUUAAGUUAAGGGUACCAUCAUUUUUAUCCAGGCCUGUUUCAUGAGUUUAUUUUUUAAAAUAAUUCUGUUGAACCACAGUUCAAAGGCAAUGUCUGAUUUUCAUUGGUUAAUUUUCAUGGAAUUUUUAUUAAUAUUUUUGUCAGAUUCAAAUUAUUUCUGUCACCAUUGUGGGCUUUUCUUUCAUUAACUGAGGGGUACCAACAAUUUUGUCCACAUGUGUAUACCAGUAAAACUUCACUGAUUUUUAUGUGAAUGGUCUUAAAGAAUAUUUUACAGAUGAAUGAUGACAGAUGAGGAGACAUCCUGUCCUGAAGAUGUCAAAAAUUGGACUGAAACGUCAUAGUUCAGUAUGUCGUCCAAAAUAUGAGAAAAACGUCGUAGUUUAGUAUGUUGUCCAAAAUGUGGAAAAAACCUCAUAGUUUAGCCUUUAGUCCACAAAACGUUGUUGUGUCCCGGCUGUCUGAAGUCGGUGAGGAGCAACACAAAAACAGUCCAAACGCUGGUUUCCAGAGGGUUAGACGAGUAUUUAUUUGAAAGAGUAAGUUUACAACAACACAACAUGUGAGGGGGUUAAAAGCAAAUGGGUGUUAGUAAAAUAAAAAUAAAUAAACAGAACUAAAAGUGAACUUCAUGUUGACAUUGAUGGGCAUUCCAACCAGGAACAAAGUAAAAGAUAAUCAAUACAAAAAAACACUCUUCCUGUUCACCUCUUUAAACCCCAAAACACACCGCAGUAGCAUCCUAAACUCAAACCACCAAUGGGUUCCCUGUUUUCCUUUGUGAACAAUUCAAAGGUCCCUCUCUAUCUCCCCACACAUCCACCAACCACUGGAACACAUCUCCAAAGUUCUGCUGGACCAGCUCAGCUUCCCCUCAGAAGAAGUGCUGCCACCUGCCAGAUGAAGGAGCCUUUUGAGAGGCAGCUGGCAUCGUGAUUGGACUGUACUUUGGUCUGUUCCAAUCCAGCUUCAGCUCCAGAGACGGCAGGCGGUACGAGUCAACGGAGGCCUGGUGGACGAAGACAUGCAGCUGAGUACAAUCCAGAAAACAACAGAGGAGGAGUGCAGCAGCCCAAAGCCAGAACAACCAGAGUAGCAUGGUGUGUCUCUUAGAAAACAUCAUAGUAGAGCCUUUGAUUUGAAAAAAACGCCAUCAUAUACAUCGUAUAUUGUACAAAUAACAAGUCAAAGGAAAGAGACAUACAUUGUAGAAUUGUAGUAAUUGUGGGCUGACUGAUUUACUGAUUAGCAGUAUUUUAUUUUUUACUGAUUUACAGUAAUAAAUCAAUUUAAAAAUGGUGCUACUUUGCCUCUGAACCUUUAUCUACCUGUGGUCGCUCUGUCUUCUGGAGUGAUUUGAUUGGUGUCCAGUAUAUCUACAAAAGUCUGCUGUCCUCCUCAGCCUCUCACUCCUGUGACGCUGCCAUCUGGGCACGGUAUUUGCCUGUCAUCUCUUUGGGCAGCGGCGUGGUGCCAGAAGCCAUACGUUCCAUUUAACCUGAAUAGUGUUGUGACUGGAUGUUACCAUUUCAGAAUUACACUGAUUAAUUUUUGGCGGGGGAAGGUGUGGUGGGUGGUGGAGGGCGGUGGGGGAGUAGAGGGGGGGAGGCCGCCCCCCACCUCCCCGCCUACUCUCCGCCCUGACUCCACCUUGGCUCCACCCAUGUGGUCACUUCAGGAACUACGAUGUCAAAGGGACGACGAAUUUAUGUCUUUGUAUCUGAUCUGUGGCGGUACCUGGAAGCCGCUCGUCCGUACGGGGGAGGCCAGUCGCGUCGCCCGAAUCAUCUUUCCCCGACCACUCACGUCACCCGGCCUUUCUUUUCAAAACCACUCAUAUCGCCUGCUCAUUCUUUUCGGGACAAAUCAGAACCGCCAGAUCAUCUUCCACCCCUCUGCUCUAAUCUGAUGCCCGGAUUCAUAUUUUGCCCCCCUCUGAUACGCCGAACACAUCGACCAAUCACGCGUUGGCGUUCAAAUCCCCAGCGCGCCGCCGACCGCUCUCUGUGUUUACGUUCGGAUAAACUACCGGAAAAAUACAAGCCGGCCCGGGUGAAACCGGGAAAAAAACUCUCAGCUAUUUCUGCCUUCAGGAGCACUGUUAUUUCAGAAAAUGGCUUCAAAAAAGACACACAAGGCGAUGGAUGACGGAGUGUGGCUAUCUCGGCUGAGGUCAUUUUCCACCACAGGAGUCUGGCCAUCAAGUGCUGGGAACAGGCCUGCCCCAAGGCAAAAAAAAUGGCACGACCUCUAUCAUAAGAUCAAAAAGUGUCCUCUGCAACUGAGGGGCCAGAGGACCCUCGUGACAGAGCCACAGGGAUGCUCGUGUGGAUUUCAUACCCAGAAGGCACGGUCGAUUCAUUAAGAUGACUCCACAGUCGUGCAGUCUACUUAUGCAGUAUUAUAUUGUCGUAGAAAACUGAGAUAACACCAGCUGCUAGUUUCACCAAUCAUGACAAAAGAUUUUACUGACCAGCAGAGAAUUGUGUGUGCUGAGUGUGUUUUUGAUUAUUUUUAGUGCAGCUUCCAGGUACCUCUGGUCUGUCAGGGGCUAAAUCAAGCCUCAGACCUAUUUGCCCACAA